rnacentral:rRNA from 1 species
GACGAACGCUGGCGGCGUGCUUAACACAUGCAAGUCGAACGGAAAGGCCCUGCUUUUGUGGGGUGCUCGAGUGGCGAACGGGUGAGUAACACGUGAGUAACCUGCCCUUGACUUUGGGAUAACUUCAGGAAACUGGGGCUAAUACCGGAUAGGAGCUCCUGCUGCAUGGUGGGGGUUGGAAAGUUUCGGCGGUUGGGGAUGGACUCGCGGCUUAUCAGCUUGUUGGUGGGGUAGUGGCUUACCAAGGCUUUGACGGGUAGCCGGCCUGAGAGGGUGACCGGCCACAUUGGGACUGAGAUACGGCCCAGACUGCUACGGGAGGCAGCAGUGGGGAAUAUUGCACAAUGGGCGGAAGCCUGAUGCAGCAACGCCGCGUGCGGGAUGACGGCCUUCGGGUUGUAAACCGCUUUCGCCUGUGACGAAGCGUGAGUGACAGUAAUGGGUAAAGAAGCACCGGCUAACUACGUG